rnacentral:rRNA from 1 species
GGGCCCGCACAAGCGGUGGAGUAUGUGGUUUAAUUCGAUGCAACGCGAAGAACCUUACCAGGGUUUGACAUCCUGCGAAUCUCUUGGAAACGAGAGAGUGCCUUCGGGAACGCAGUGACAGGUGGUGCAUGGCUGUCGUCAGCUCGUGUCGUGAGAUGUUGGGUUAAGUCCCGCAACGAGCGCAACCCACGUCUUUAGUUGCCAGCAUUUAGUUGGGCACUCUAGAGAGACUGCCGGUGAUAAACCGUGAGGAAGGUGGGGAUGACGUCAAAUCAUCACGGCCCUUACGUCCUGGGCUACACACGUGCUACAAUGGCCGGUACAGAGAGCAGCCACUUCGCAAGAAGGAGCG